AGCCCAAAAGUACAGUGAGACUUGGGGAUGGCUCUGAGUUCCAGACCACAAUGAACUAUAGAAUUAGAGCUUAUCUCAAAAUACAAACAAGUAAAAUAAUUAUAUUUAAACAUAAAUGACUACUCCCUUGAAAGAGGACUCUACAUAUGUAGCAAAUGGCAGACACUUUUCAUAGUAAUUUCUUAAAGAUGAGCUAGAUCAGCAAUGUUUCUUCCAAAAUGUCUCCUAUGUAUACAUAUCACACUGUCGGAAGAAAAAUAUACAGAGCUAAGAAUGUGAGAGAACAGUGCUAACAAGGUUUUCCAGUAAGAAAUUAAAUCUGAAAGUCACUUGAAAGUAUUAUGAGUUAACUUGAAAGUAUUAUGAGAUAUAAUUUGUUUCAGAGAUACAGUAUCUUGAUGCUUCUAGUUUGUCACAUUCGUGCUUACCAAGACUGUGAUAAUAAUUUCUUAGAUUGAGAGGAAAUUUAAAGAAAUGUGCAGCAAUAUGAACCAUAAAAUAUUUUAAUUUAAUAAUUUAUAAAAUAUUUUACAUAUGACCAGAGUUUAUUUAUUUUAUAGUGAUUGACGACACACUGGUUUUAAGCACAAAUGCAGGUGACAGUAAACUAUUUGUCACUUUCUUAGAAGAAAAAUGAAUGUAUCACAUGACAAAUAGAAUAGACAAGCUCAAAUAAGGAACCAUUCCACUUUUUCAGUUUUUUUCCUACAAGCUUCUUAGAGUUCUUGGUUUUGUUCAUUGUAAAAUUAUGAACUUGACAUCUUCAUUUAAAAAUUAAUAAAAUUAGUUGUGAAAUAUAAUUAUCAAUCUAUUUGAAUGGAGAAAAGUUCUUGACACUUAUUCUUGCCAAUCACUUUCAACAAAGCCACUCAUGGUCAAGACAGGAAGCCAUAUAUUUUUAAUUUUUAAUACCUACAGCUCAAAUUACUGAGACUUUUCUUCUGAAUUUUCUCUCCAGUGGAUUGACACAUGUCCUGAAUGAUCGCGAACAGAGAGUGGCUCAAUGAAUGAAAUCAAACAAAGCCUACAUCUAACAACUUUCUAAACAGCUGAUUGAACAAUAUUGCAAGUGCUAGACUCUCCAACUGCACAUGCAUAAUUUCAUAUGAAGCUGGGUUCAGAGGUCAUGAGCAGUGGGUGUUUCAGUCUGCCCUGAAACAGGCCCUGCAUCUCACAGUUUGAAGAGAAAAACAGAUCACACAAACACUUUUCAGAGAUUUCAAAGACACUUGAACUCAUAGUUCAGCUAAAUGUGAAGAAAGAAAAGGUUUGUCCAGCUUUUGAGAAAAAUCAUGAAAAGAAAUAUGUGUUUAUAAUAAUUCUUCAACAAGUCCAUCUAAAUAAUUUAUAGCUAAUCUAAGUCAUUUAAAGUUCGUUGACUAAAUGUAGAUAGAUAGACAGAUAGAUACAUAGAUAGAUAGAUAGAUAGAUAGAUAGAUAGAUAGAUAGAUAGAUAGUGUAUGUGUGUAUUGACUUAAUAAGCCUUUGCAACAUAAGCUUGAUCUAUGUAUUGUUUAUUUUUAUUUUCAUAACAUUUAAUACCAGAGUUUCGGUGAAAUCUGAAUACUGUUAUAGAGAAGGCAUAAUAGAUCCAAAACUCAAGCUUAGCACAGCAGAUCUCACGACUUAGAAUUUUCCAAUGCAUUAUACCAACAUAAGUGCAGAGCUCUGUUUGACAUGCCAAUGAGUCUCUUCUUGGGUCUUGAUUAGAUAAAUGACGAUUGG
rnacentral:lncRNA from 1 species